AAUGAACGUUGGCGGCGUGGAUUAGGCACGCAAGUCGUGCGGAAGUGGCCCGCAAGGGUUACUUUAGCGGCGAAAGGGAGAGUAAUACGUAGGUACCUACCCCUGGAACCGGGAUAGCUGCGGGAAACUGCAGGUAAUACCGGAUAACGUCUCCGGACCAAGGGUGUGAUUCCGUCCGGGGAGCGGCCUGUGUCAUAUUAGCUGGUUGGUGAGGUGACGGCUCACCAAGGCAAAGAUGGGUACGGGGUAUGAGAGUAUGCCCCCGCUCACUGGGACUGAGACACGGCCCAGACACCUACGGGUGGCUGCAGUCGAGGAUCUUCGGCAAUGGGCGCAAGCCUGACCGAGCGACGCCGCGUGUGGGAUGAAGGCCCUCGGGUUGUAAACCACUGUCAGAGGGGAUGAAAUGCCAUGGGGUUCUCUUCAUGGUUUGACAUAUCCUCAGAGGAAGGACGGGCUAAGUUCGUGCCAGCCGCCGCGGUAACAC
rnacentral:rRNA from 1 species